UGCUCUCAAGUUUGGUGUUGGCACAGGACUCUCAUCUAACUCAAUGUUUGGACUACCAAUACAACUAACAAGGGGUUGGACUACCAAUACAACUAACAGGAACUACACUCGGAACUUCUACUUUUCACCUACCAUCAAUAAGAGCUGGACUGUGUAAACUUGGAAUCCAAUCACUGGUAAGAAGAAUGAAAACAAUACCAAUGAGAAUCUAGCUUAUAACUGGGAACUCCCCCCGCCCACCAAGACUUUCUAUUAUAUAAUAGAAUUCCACCGGUGCAGCAGACAAGCCACUCAAAAGAUCGAAUUUCACUGGGCAGUAACCGAACCUUACUUGUGAAUUAGAACACCUGCCGCACCCAGCCAUCCAAGUAUUUCUUUCCUGUCUCUCAUCCCAGUAUCGGUAUUGGAAGGUAACUCAACAGAAUCUGAAUUGAACCAAUACCGUUGAACCACACUUAUUUGGAUUCUUAUUCUCUUGUGUUAGUCCGCUACUCCCUGGCUUAAGUACAACUUAUCGUGCUCUCUUUCAUGCUUUAACUAUAUGGAUUCGUUUCUUUGUUUGCUAGCUUCCAAGCUUAGUUAAAGAAGUUAGCUCACCCGGUGGAGCCUAUCCCUCCUGGCCUCAUGUAUUAGUAGAUUGAGUCUGCCCUGUCUUGCUUGGAUUCUUUAAACACCGUUCAUUGGCCUAGAUUGAGGUUACCUCUCCCUGCCUUAAGUCUGUAUUGCACUAUUAAGAGACAGUACAGUAAGUAAGGCUCUAAGGAAGGAAUGGUAGACUCCCGUUAAUAGGCAAGAAAGCAAGUUAGGAUUCUAGGAAUGAAAGCAGUGGUACGGGAAUGAAAGAAGGUAUGGGCAGACUUCAAAGUACCCAGUAGGGCUAUUGUGUUUGAAUUCCCUAUUUGAGCUAUAGUCUUAUUGAUAUUAGUUUCAGAAUUGGAAUUGGUAGUUUCAGAACGAAAGGCAGAGGGGAAGCAUGAUAGGGUUGGGUAAUGUAUCAGCCUCGCCAGUACAAUAUUGAAAUGACUUGUUUUGAGUUCGAUUCCCUGACGCGCUAACUCGGUCUUAUCCUGUAGGUAGUAAGUCUUGUUUACGUUGGUUCGAUUGCUUCUAUAUGGGCCUUAUCAGUAGUGUUGCAUCCUUAUCAGCAGUAGCUCGAGUCUGUUUGUCAGAAGUUAUAUUCCUUAAAGCAGUAGCCAUCUAAAGCAGCCCUUGUUUAAAGUACGAGUCCUGUUGGUGGCAAGUCAGAAUUCUCUCAAGGGGAGUUUGCCUAGGAUCAAAAGGAUUAUUAGUCAAGCAAGGAUCUUAA
rnacentral:lncRNA from 1 species